rnacentral:rRNA from 1 species
AGUCGAGCGGUAACAGGGGUAAUUUAUUACCUGCUGACGAGCGGCGGUCGGCUGAGUAACGCGUGGGAACAUGCCCCAAAGUGAGGAAUAACUGCCCGAAAGGGUGGCUAAUGCCGCAUAUGAUCUUCGGAUUAAAGGAUUUAUCCGCUUUGGGAGUGGCCCGCGUACGAUUAGGUAGUUGGUGAGGUAAAGGCUCACCAAGCCCACGAUCGUUAACUGGUCUGAGAGGAUGAUCAGUCAGACUGGAACUGAGACACGGUCCAGACUCCUACGGGAGGCAGCAGUGAGGAAUCUUCCACAAUGGGCGAAAGCCUGAUGGAGCGAUGCCGCGUGCAGGAUGAAGGCCUUCGGGUUGUAAACUGCUUUUAUAAGUGAAGAAUAUGACGGUAACUUAUGAAUAAGCACCGGCUAACUACGUGCCAGCAGCCGCGGUCAUACGUAGGGUGCAAGCAUUAUCCGGAGUGACUGGGCGUAAAGAGUUGCGUAGGUGGACAAGUAAGCGAAUAGUGAAAUGUGGCGGCUCAACCGUACACACUAUUAUUCGAACUGCUUGUCUCGAGAAUGGUAGAGGUAACUGGAAUUUCUAGUGUAGGAGUGAAAUCCGUAGAUAUUAGAAGGAACGCCAAUGGCGUAGGCAGGUUACUGGACCAUUUCUGACACUGAGGCACGAAAGCGUGGGGAGCGAACCGGAUUA